GAUGAACGCUGGCGGCGUGCCUAAUACAUGCAAGUCGAGCGAACAGACGAGGAGCUUGCUCCUCUGACGUUAGCGGCGGACGGGUGAGUAACACGUGGAUAACCUACCUAUAAGACUGGGAUAACUUCGGGAAACCGGAGCUAAUACCGGAUAAUAUAUUGAACCGCAUGGUUCAAUAGUGAAAGACGGUUUUGCUGUCACUUAUAGAUGGAUCCGCGCCGCAUUAGCUAGUUGGUAAGGUAACGGCUUACCAAGGCAACGAUGCGUAGCCGACCUGAGAGGGUGAUCGGCCACAUUGGAACUGAGACACGGUCCAGACUCCUACGGGAGGCAGCAGUAGGGAAUCUUCCGCAAUGGGCGAAAGCCUGACGGAGCAACGCCGCGUGAGUGAUGAAGGUCUUCGGAUCGUAAAGCUCUGAUAUUAGGGAAGAACAAAUGUGUAAGUAACUAUGCACGUCUUGACGGUACCGAAUCAGAAAGCCACGGCUAACUACGUG
rnacentral:rRNA from 1 species